GCGCCGCUAGCUCAAUUGGCAGAGCAACUGACUCUUAAUCAGUAGGUUCUUGGUUCGAUUCCAAGGCGGCGCACCA
rnacentral:tRNA from 1 species